AGGCCUCUGAGGCACGGGCGGUCAGGCCUGGCGGGCGGCGUGCCCAGCCUGGACCAAGAAGGGAGUCGCAGGUUCUAGACCAGCUCCCUCCAAACCAGCAGGGUACCCCCAGUUUCCCUCAACUCCCAUCUCUUCUGUGCCUGCACAUAAAAGACGAAGGAUCGGUGGAGCUAGCUGAUCGCCUAGCUUCCUUUUUGUGCUGAAAUUCUGUGGUUUUGAUUCAUAGUGAUGAUUCAUAGUGAGUCAACAAGAAAAAGGUUAAAUCACGCUCUGAACAUUCUAGUUAAGAAAACAGGCGAGUCUGUGCUCUAUCGUGUAAAUGCUUCAGAGGUAUUAGAACCUGAAAGCCAUUUCGCUGUUUAAAGACGCAAGGUUCAGACGCUGGGGGAGUUGAUCGCCGCGGAGCUCCUCGCCCACGUGAGGCCAGACGGGCACCAGCUGCACCCCCGCGCUGGCGGGUCCUCGCGGGCCCUCUCCACGCAGGGAGGCUGCGAACCGUGCUUCCUCAAGGUCAGAGAGCCCCACGGGCCGGGAGAGCAUGUUAUGUAACGGUGCGCAUGACAGCUUUUCAAGUUGGCGCUCCGUAUCGAAUUCCGGUUUUCUUUCAGAAAUAAAAUUAUCUAAGAAAACAAAGCUUGGCUGUUUACAGUGCGGGCGGCUUCUUCUUUCCUAAGAACUCAGUGGUUUCCAAAUACCAAGAAUCUAUCUGUCUUAAAAUUAUUUUAAAAUUGCAAUCAUUUCAAAAUGUAAAGAAAGGGAUUUGAUGACGGCAUCUCUGUCCCUUUUGUCUGGGCUAAGGACAUGUUGGCGGCAGCUGCCUUUCAGCAGGUAGCCCUGCAGGUAGAUGAGGACGUCACGACGUCACGACGUCACAGCGCCCAGGUCUCUGCCUAUCCCACCCACAGAUGCAGAUCUGGAUGGAAUCCGGACAGGGAGAGGGACCAUCUCCCGCUCUGGCAGCGCCCGCCGAUCGGCCCCACCCGCCGGCCUGUCUGGACUCCGGGUUCGCUGUCCUACCUGGCUCUGUCCCUCCUUUACCUUUGCGUCUUGUGCUGAACGUUCUUACUUUAAAGGAAAGGAAUAAAUCUCUCGGUGUGGAUGGCGUGGCGCAUCGGCAGGGCUUGUGCCUGUGACUUCCGUGGUAAGGUGGCACCCAGACCGCCCGGGGAGGUGGCAGACGCCCAGCUCUACCCAGCUCCUACCUGCCCUGGAGAGGAAUGCCCCCUGCCCUCCGUCACCUUUCUCUCAAGGGAACACAGAUGCGUACCUUUACGUCUAGUCGUCCCCCAGACGUUUGUUGGAGGCCUGUUGUUUUAGGGAGACUUGCAGGAUGUCGGAGUUACAUGAAAUUGUGGAAAAAUAAUCUGAUCCAAUGCCUUUAUUCUGUGGGGGGAAAACUAACCCUCUGAGAGAAGGGACCCGCCUGAGGAAGAGGUUAUGAACUGUGUUGGUGACAGAACUGGCCUGGAAUCCAGUGGCUUUAAGCCCGGCCUGAGCACCUUGGGGCUGGCUGCUUUCUCUGCCUGAGCUUCGGGGAGGGCCCGAGCUCUGCCCCCUGCACCUGCUGCUCCUGGACUUGAAGGAGCGCCACCUCCCCGCCACCACCCAAGGUCAGCGCCCCUCCCCCGAGAGUGCAUGGCCUUUGCACGUGGACACAAGUGGCUCUUCUGCAUGGCCACAGUAACCACGGAGAUACCAGAGGACAGCGUUAGGUCUCCUUCACUCUUGGACUUUCCUCUGGACCAGGAAGCUUUUGAUUUUUCCUUUUUUUUAAACUUUGGUAAAACAACAUAAAAUGUGCUGUUUUAACUUUUUUAAGUGUACGAUUUCAUAGUGUUAGGUACAUUCAUAAUGUUUUACAGCCAUCACUAUUAUUCCUUUCCAGAACUUUUUCAUUAUCCCAAACAUAAACUCUAGCCAUUUGUUAUGGGCUGAAUUGUGUCCACCCCAAGAUUCAAUACGCUGCAGUCCUAACCCCAGGAAUACAGCCAUCUGCCCACCAAGGAGUCCUCAGAAGAAAUCAGCCCUGCCAACACCUUGAUCUCAGCCUCUGGCCCCUAGAAUGGUGAGAAAAUAAGUUUCCAGUGUUUAAACCACUCAAUUCUUGCUUCUUUGUUAUGGCAGCCAUAGCAAACUAACGCACAAAUAGUAAUACUCCCCACUCCUGCCAGCCCUGGUGACCUCUAGCACAUUGUCCCUAUGAACCUGCCUAUUCUAGGACCUCGUGUAAGUGGAAUCUUACAAUAUUUGUCCUUUCGUGUCUGGCUGAUUUCGCUUAGCACAAUGUUUCCAUGGGUCAUCUAUGUGGUAGCAUGCAUCAGGAUUCAUUUCCUUUGUGUGGCCAAGUAUAACAACAUUCCCUUGUGUGGAUGUGCCGCAUUUUGCUUAUCCGUUCGUCAUCUCAUGAUGGACAUUUGGGUUUCCUCUACCAUUUGGCUGUUGUGCAUCACUCAGGCUUAGCUUGUGACUUUCAAAACAAAUAAAAACAAUAGCUUAAGAGAAAGAGGUAUAAGAUUUCCAUAGCUCAGAGUUUAUGCCACACUGGAAUUUAGAGACUGCACGAUGAGGUCAGAACCUGUUUUUUCUCUCUAGCCAGGGUGGAGGGUGUGGUGGAGGGGCUUGCUGCCAGGUGCAUCAGCUACCUGUGCCCAGACCCGCCGGAGGCAGCAGAACCCCCGACAGAUGGACAUCCAGGCGUAGAGGAAAUGAGAGCUCCACUCCUCUGGGGGCUCCCAGGCUCCCUUAACCACCAGGACCUGGGUGUUUGGAGUAGGGGUGCCUGUGCGGGGUAUGGGUAUGUAGGGGCCAGGCAGAAGGCAUUGGGUGGGCUUCUAGCAUCCCCUUGCUGUACCGCGAGGGGUCAGGGAACAGACAAUGCCUUCCUCGGUGACAAAGAGUGAGUCACUUGCUCUGGUCCAAGGACAGGGACAUAUUGGGCCAGACACGAGCGGCCGUGUGUGGGGCCAGCUGGGAUCUCCUCAGAGUCCCUGUGGGGAGGAACUCCUUGAGGGACCGUGGCCCACCCAGUACACAUGGAGAAGCAAUGCUGAGGUUCAAGUUCAAAGAAGUAUGGCCAGAAAUGUGCAGGUUCGUGAUGGUUUGCGAAGGCUAUUUCAUUCUUCUAGCCCUUCAAGCUGCUUUCUCCCCUAUUAUCAAAAGGAAGAACAACUUGCAUAAUUUCAACAUAUCUAAAAAUAGCUUCCUUUUUGACUUAGAUUAAAGAGAGAGAGAGAAUUCCUGCUCUAUCUGGAACAGAUAAGAGGGAAAGAUCGGUGGAGGGGAAUGGCCGCGGGCCUCUCUGGCAUUCUGGAGGCUGGGCGAGACUCUAACAUGCAUUCAUCUGCAUCACGGGUUCCUCGCCUACAAAGCAGGGCUUGGGGUCAGCCACUUCCUGGGGCACCUGCGUGGUUCUGUGUGGGGAACUAUUUUUACAGAGAGGCUCUGAUAUCCUCUUCCUCCCGGUGCAUCACCCAGGAGCGUGGAAAGGUGAGUUCUCGGCCCCACCCAGACCCACUGAAAGCAAGACGCCGGGGGUGUGUCCCAGAACGCUGCGACAUAACCGGCCAACCAGGGGACACGGUGUUUCUGCUCUCCGGUGACCACUGCUUUCCUAGAGACGCAAGCUCUACCUGGAGGACGUGUGGGAUGUGACCUCACCACUACUGGCAAGGCAAUAAAAAGUGGAAAACUAGAUGUUGGAAAGAACAGAUUCGACGCAUUAGCUUCAGUACCAGAAUAAGUCGGUUUCCACACCAAAAAUUAUAAAUAUGCAUACUUUAUCCUAAUGCAAUGCAAUAAUUUCCGAUUUUUAAAAGAACCAUCAGCAUGGCGAACCAGACACCCCUCUCUGACUAAAUGCGUGACGCACGCAGAACUUUCGUCGCCACGUGAUAAUGAGCUUGUAGAGAUCUGUGUGCAUGGCUCUUCAAAGCCAUGCCGCUGAGCUUCUCAGGGAGAGAACUUGUGAGAACAAAAUGCACUUCAGUCUAAGGACGCGGAUUGUGUGCUGAGUCACGCUGCCGUGAGAGCGAGCGCCGCCGCGUUAGGAAAGGCGGGUGGGAAGCCCCGCCAGUCCGCAGCUGCGCGGGGCGCCCCUGCCCGCUUCCCAGCGUGAGGGUCUCGCGGAGGUUUCCAGUCACGGUAGCGUUUGGGCAGAGGACGAAGAUGAGGCCUGUGCCAUCAGCUGGGAUGCAGAAUUUUCUUUCGAGUCUUCGCCCUGGCUGGUACUCAAGGUCACAGAACGCCUCACUCUAAGGUGACGUUACAUUUCAUGAAAAUCACCUUGGGCCUCCCACACUCACCACCGUUUUAUAUUUCAGUGUCGUUGAGGCCCAGCUAUGCAUUGAAUGUUGUUCCCGUCUAUUCCUUUUUGUUUGUUUUCUUUUUUUUAACUCCAAGAAAUAAGUCCUUAGGCUUCUAUGAUUUGGGAUUAAGAAAAAAAAAAAAAAGAAGUCCCACUCAGGGGUGCAGGUGAGAUGUGCUGGCUCCUCACUGCUUUCAAGUGAACGAGGAAUUUUCUUGAAUUAAGGAACUUCAUGGCAACGCCCACGUUUUGAAGGAUGUAGAGGAUUCAAGUGGCUCCACCCAUGCUUACUGAGUCCAGGGAAGUGGAUUUGAGCUUUGGAAAGGGGCUAAGGUGAGCCGAGCCCGGGGGCACUUCCGGCUGCACCUGGCUCCCGAGCGCCCGAGGUUCCGGCUGGGCCUCACUUCCUGCCUCUCCCCGGUUCCCGGAAAUGAGGCUCAGGGUUCCAGGUCACUGCUCUGGUUCUUGCCCUCGUCAGCCAGCUUCCCUGUCUUUCCCAGUGCACGCUGCCAUCCCUGCACUUCAAUUCCACGUCCACGCUCAGCCCGGCCUUUCCUGGAGAUGCUGACAGCGCAGGCCCUGAGCACCCCAGGUGGCCCACACAGGACCUCCCAGGGUGGAAAGAUUCUCCGGGAGCACCGAGGUGAAAGUCACCUUGAAUGCUUGCAUACAUUCAGUGGGCACUAACUAAUUCAGGCCACUUCAGGCCCCUGUUGCAGAAAACACUAGGAUCACAUUCAGCUGCCCGCAGACAACUGCACCGUCAGCGUCACCGAUGGGGUCCCCAUCGCCUGUCGGAUGGUUGGUUACGUCCAGUCCUACUGGAACGACACUUCCUCCUCCGCAACGCUCCGCGCCCCCGAUUCUGGGCACCCCGCUCUCAGAUGGUUCCUUCCUGCCUCAUCUGUCAGUCUGCCUCUCUCACUUGCUCCUUCUGCACAAACUCCUCCUGCUUCCGGGACCAGGUUUCAGUCCUCGGACCUCUUGCCUCCCCAGGUGGCGUUGCCAGAUUGAGAAAUAAAAACAUAGAACUCCCAGCUAAAACAACAAACAGUCCUAUGGUGAAAGGAUGUCCCAAAUAUUGCAUGGCCCCAAAUACUUACCUGGGUAACAGGUAAAUAUUGCAUGAGGCAUACUUAGGCUAAAAAGUGUUCAUUAUUUAUCUGCAUUCAAAUUGAAUCGGGCACGCUGGGUUUCAUCUGCCCACCCCAAGAUGAUCUUAUCCAGUUUCAUGUCUUUAAGUGCCAUCUCUAUGAUGACUCCUCCAAAAAUGUUUAUCUGUAACCUAGAUCUCCCUCUCCUGGACUUCAAACUCCCAAGGACUCCACCCCGUUGCCACCCAGGUGAUUAAUGGCUGUCUCAACUCGGCAGCCUACGCCAGUUUGUGAACAACGUGUGACGAAGCCACAGGCCAGAUACUUCACAAAAGUCAUGCCCAGGAGUAUGAGCAUGUAAAGACCAGCUCUUAAAACGUGUGUCCCCACCAAAGGCAAACCUGGCCCUCGGUGAAGGCGAAGACUGAGCUCUGUGACUGCUAAGCAUGCAGACGACACAUUGCUAAGCCAAGUCCCAAGAACUCUUGUGCCGCCACCUGCCAGUGCUCAAGGUGCCAGUGCCAGGCUGCAGAGAUGAGCAGGGUGCAGACAGCACAGGGCAGGGGUCCCCAUCCUAUAGUGAGUUGUGUGAUUAUUUCAUUAUAUGUUACAAUGUAAUAGCAAUAGAAAUAAAGUGCAUGAUACAUGCAAUGCGUUUGAAUCGUCCCAACCGCUCCCCAUCCCCUGGUCUGUGGAAAAAUUGCCUUCCAUGAAAAUGGUCCCUGGUGCCAAAAAGGUUGGGGACUGCUGGUUUAGGGCACGGAAUGCAAGGUGAGGCCAAGGCACCACGCUCCCCAGGUCAAUGGCACGGCCCUUCUGCUGUGGCUUGGGCGUGGCUUGUUUGCCCACCAGGUCUCAUGUUGGAAUGUGACCCGCGGUAUUGGAGGUGGGGCUGGAGGGGGGUGUUUGGAUCAUGGGGCUGGGUCCCUCGUUGAAGGGCUUGGUGCUGCUCUCAUGGUAAUGAGUGAGUUGGGGCUCUGUUAGUUCCUGUGAGAACUAAUCGUUACAAAGAGCCUGUCACCUCCCUUCUCUCUCUCUCUCUCUCUCUCUCUCUCUCUCUCUCUCUCUCUCUCUCUCUCCCUCCCCCCUCCUCCAUCCCCUUCACCUUCCGUCAGAGCAGCGGCUUCCCGGUGAGAAGCAGACGCCGGUGCCACCCUUCUCGUCCAUCCUGCAGACCCUCGUGCCAAAGAGACCACCUUUCUUUACAGAGCUCCCAGACUCAAGUGUUUCUUUACAGCGACUCCAAGGGACGAAGACGCCGUCUUAGUAGGAUUUGGGAAAGUCUGAGGCAAAGCACAGCAACUGGAGAAAACACGGCAAAGGCCCCUUCUGCCGUGGAGAGCCAGCGAAAACCCUGUGACGACAACCAAGGAGACAGACAGCAGUGUCCAGCUUAGGGCCGGGUGUGGCCAAUUUCUGCGUCAAUGAGCAGGUGCUGCUGCCACAGCCGGGGGGGAGGGGACUGGGCAAAUCUCGGCUUACCUCAGGAAAGGCAUCCACGCGGCGCCCGGAGUGGCCCGACUGACGGGGCAGGGAGACUGGCACCUCACCUUCGCCCUCUUUCUUUAGGCAUUUGUGUUUCUCUUUGCCUUGAUGGCCUCAAUAGCCAGUUGCUUGCCUUUCUCUGGCAAAAGAAAGGCUGCUCCAGACAAGAAACUGCUCCACGUCCAAGGCCAUGGGCCACCCAGAUCCACUGGGGAUGACAUCUGGCCGGCACUGCUAAGUCCUGCAGCUGUGACUUGGAGGAAGGCUGGAGUAACCCAGACCCGGGCUGCCCGUGGGUGUGCAGUUGGGCAGGGACUUCAGUCUUCAUCUUCUUCCUCUGUCCCGCGUUCCUGAGCCCUGCGGGGAGGGAGGCACAGAGGGCAAAGCUGCCCCAGACUGCAAGGGGAUUGAUCUCCGUGGCCGGCAUCCCAGCGCAGGUCUGUUUUCUCCAAAAACCCGUAUUCUUUCUGUGUCACCACGCUCAAAAGAAUGGAAGAUUUACUUAACAAAUGGCAUGGCAAGGUGGAAAUUUGGUAAUCAUUUUAAACACCUUACCCUAGACACAAAAAAAUAAACUCAAAAUAAGAACUUACAUAGAGAAUGGCAGGAAAACUCGUGGAAAAUGAAUUGCAUACUGAAGCAGUUGAAAUCAAAGAAGGAAGACAAAUACCAUGUUUUCACUUUCAAGUGGGGCCUAAAUAAUGUAAACCUAGGACCCAGAGUGGCAUGAUCGACAGUGGGAACUUGGAAGGGUGGAGGAGUGUGGCGGGGUGGGUGAUGAGAAGUUCCUUAAUGGGUACAGUGUGCCUUAUUUGGGUGAUGGGUCCCCUAAAAGCCCUGACUUCACCACUGUGCAACCUAUCCUUGUAACAAAAUUACACUUGUAUCCCCUAAAUUUAUGCAAAUAGAUAAAUGGCAAAUGUAAGCAUACUUUCUUAUUUAAGAAAAGAAAUCAUAGAAGGAACAGAUUGAUAAAUUAACAUUUAUUUGUAUGUGAUAAAUAUUGACUGUGAGUAUAGUCAUGAAUAAGAAUAGGUUUCACGCAAAUAGAAAUUGUAUGAUAAAUAAAAACACACACUUUGAUAGAUCUUGAACGUCACAUGUCCGAUACAAAAAUGUAAAUUGGUGCUCAUCAACAUUAUAAAAUUUGCAAAACAUAUUUAAGGCAUAAGAAAAUGUUAGCAAAGUGGCGAUGAGCAGCAACAUGUUGGUCUAUGCAGUAAUGCCUGUAGUGCAUCACAGAGCCCCUACUCCUGGGACUUUAUCUAGGAAAUCACCCCGGAGAAGAAAAUGUAUUUGUUGUGGCAGUGGGUUACUCCAGAGCCAGAGGACAGAAUCCUCCUAGUUAGGCACCCCUGACUUGCCAUCCUGCCUCUGAUAUUUACUGGCUUGAGGAAGUGACUUGACACAGCUAUGCUUCAGGUUCCUCAUUUAUAAAAUGGAAAAAUACAAUGUGUGAUACAAAGUGCUUAGUGCUCAUUAAGCAGAAGCAAGUGACACCAAAGAGUGAUUCUCAGUAGAUGAAGGUAGGCGGCACCCAAUGUCCAUCAGGAGGGCAAUUAAGAAAAUUAUUAUAUGCUAAAUGUGUAAAAUCUUAAAAAGCAUUAAGAAGACAGUUAUGACAACUCUGAUAAGGAAAUCAGCUUAGGAUAUGCUAGGUAAAAUAUGAUGAAAUUUUUCGAUAGCCACUAUGAUCAUAGCUAAAUAAAAUAUGCACGCAUGCGAGCAAAGACUGGACAAGAAUAUGAUAAAGGAAAAUGAAGGAGAUGAUUUUAAGGAGAUUUGAAACUUUUUCUUAAAUGUUUGUAUACUAACCGAAAACCAAGGAUAAAAAGGAUGGCUGAAAAGAAACUUGUGUGUGUUGUGUAGGGGUAGAAACUGAGUGUGCCCACUACCCAUGGCAGGAGGUGAUAGGAGUGGUGAUGUUUCUUCAUUUGGUUGGCAUUUAUGGAACCCUAUUGUGCCAAUUCUUUGGAAACAAAGAUCCUGCCCUCACAAGCUAGUAGGGAAGAAGCAGAUAAAAACAACCAAUAAAUUCCAUUGUGGUAAAUUCAUUAAUAGAGAUAAAUAUAAGACAAUCUACCUUUUAAAGGAGUUGGGCUAGGGGGCUUCCUCAAGGAGAUGAUGAGCAAAACUUUAAGGUGAGGAAAGUCAGGCAGCUGAUGAGGGGUGAGGGAAGGGCAGCCCUUGGAAAAGUAUGUGCUGUGGUUUGUCCCUGCCAAAGUCACGUUGUAAUUUAAUUGCCAAUGUAAUGGUAUGGGGGGGGGGGAGACACCGGCCUCCUGAAUGGAUUAAUGCUGUUAUUUCAGGAGUGGGCUAGUUACCACGGGAGUGGGAUCCUGAUAAAAGGAUAAGUUCAGCCCCACUGUCUCUCUGUCUCUUGCACAUGCUUCCACACAACAUGCUGAUGCCUUCUGCUGUGAGAAGACCCUUCCAGAUGCAGCGCCAUGCUCUUGGACUUCACGGCCUCUACAACAGUGAGCCAAAUAAUUCAACCAAGAGAAAACAAUGGGUUUCCACACUAACUCAGCAGCGGUGGCAGUGACAGGAAAGGACUGUGCAUAAAUCUUUGAGAAGAGAAUCAACAGAUGAAUUGAGGGGAAAGAGAAGCAAGCAGAAUGGGAAAGAUUCAAAGGCAACUUUGAAGUCACCAGUUUCACCAAAACAGGAAACCAGAAAGUUGGGAGAAGGGACCUCAGACCAUUGGCCAAGCUGGGGUCAAAAGGUCUGUUUUGCAGCCUGCUCAAUGGGUGAUGCCUUUGGGAUAUGUAAAUGAAGGCAUUCGUCAGGUUAUGGAUAAAUGGUCUGAGGUUUAGGAGAGAGAUGCUAACUGGAAGUAUAGAUCUGAACAUCAUCUGUACAUUAAUCACUGGGAAAAGAAAAGAAUGAUCUGUUUUUGAGGUUCUACAUUAUUUCAGGUGCUUCGCACAUAAUGUCUCAUUUAAACAUCACAACCACUCCCAUGAAUUUUGUAUACAAGGAAGGUGAGGCUCCCAAAACUUCAGUAACUAACUAGGACUCUUUGUUGCAAGGAACAAAGCCAGCUUACUGGUAGAAUUGACUGUAAGGACACGGGAGACUCUGGGGCACCUAAAGACAGAAAGGGGAGAGAGGAGCAGCAUGCUUCCAUUUUCAUUUCGCAAAGCUCCCUGUGUGGGAGAGGAGCAGGCUAGGGGAGGGCCAGGGCAGGAACGAGGAGGCCGGCCGGGAUCUGUGCCACCUCUCUUGCCAAUCAAUCUCGAAGCAAAGGUUUGUUGAACUAGAUGCAGCUUGGCUUGAAAUCAUGAGAAAGUGAGCGAUCACGGAGGAAAGAUACCCUGUGCCUUUGCCAACUUCGGUCUAACAGUCGCCAAAUUUUUUUUUUUUUUUAAGUAAAAUCGACUCUCUCUAUAUAAACUCCAAAUGCAUGGAGUAUAGAUGGACUUUUAAUAACAAUACUUUGUGGAAUGAUCAUGAUUUUAAGUAGAAAUUCUUUUUUGUUUUUGCCAUUUUCAUGCCAAUAUCUUUUUUUCAGACAAUACAGUAGAACAGGUUGUGAGGUGAGACUCAUUAAACAUUGAACCUGCUUCAGUUCUCCCUGUCUGUUGUAAAACCCUGGAUGGGUCCUCAUAAAAUGAGGAAUUUGAACUAAAAUAAGUGCUUCUCAAGCUCUAACGUGCAUGUGAAUCUCCUGGGGUGUUGACAAAAUGCAGUUUCCUGUUCACCAGGCCUGAGCUUCUGCCUUUCCAAUAAGCUCCAGGGUGGAGGAGAUGCUGCUGGUGAGGGUCACACUCCAGAUAGGUCACCUGCCCCAAGGUGCCGUUAUGCUAUAAGCUUUAAUGGUCACCAGACAAGGAAAAGCAUUAUGUCAACAGUUGAGAAUGGAAAGUGUUUAUUUUAGAAAAUAAAUACAGCUUUACUUUUCUGUUUAUAAGAGUAAUACAUGCUUGUCACGGUGGCUCCUGCCCAUGUUCCUAGCACUUUGGGAGGCGGAGGCCAGAGGACUGCUUGAGGCCAGGAGUUUGAGACCAGCCUGAGCAAG